GGUAAGUUCCGACCUGCACGAAUGGAGUAACGAUUUGGGCGCUGUCUCCACCACGAACUCGGCGAAAUUGCAUUACGAGUAAAGAUGCUCGUUACGCGCAGCAGGACGGAAAGACCCCGGGACCUUUUACUAUAGUUUGGUAUUGGUGAUCGGUACGACUUGUGUAGGAUAGGUGGGAGACUGUGAAGCAUUCACGCUAGUGGGUGUGGAGUCAUCGUUGAAAUACCACUCUGGUCGUUCUGGUUAUCUAACCUCGGACCAUGAUCUGGUCCAGGGACAGUGCCUGAUGGGUAGUUUGACUGGGGCGGUCGCCUCCCAAAAGGUAACGGAGGCGCCCAAAGGUUCCCUCAGCCUGGUUGGCAAUCAGGUGUUGAGUGUAAGUGCACAAGGGGAGCUUGACUGUGAGACUGGACAGGUCGAGCAGGGACGAAAGUCGGGACUAGUGAUCUGACGGUGGCGUGUGGAAGCGCCGUCACUCAACGGAUAAA
rnacentral:rRNA from 1 species